rnacentral:rRNA from 1 species
UGGGGAAUAUUGCACAAUGGGCGCAAGCCUGAUGCAGCCAUGCCGCGUGUAUGAAGAAGGCCUUCGGGUUGUAAAGUACUUUCAGUCGGGAGGAAGGUGUCAAGGUUAAUAACCUUGGCAAUUGACGUUACCGACAGAAGAAGCACCGGCUAACUCCGUGCCAGCAGCCGCGGUAAUACGGAGGGUGCAAGCGUUAAUCGGAAUUACUGGGCGUAAAGCGCACGCAGGCGGUUUGUUAAGUCAGAUGUGAAAUCCCCGGGCUCAACCUGGGAACUGCAUCUGAUACUGGCAAGCUUGAGUCUCGUAGAGGGGGGUAGAAUUCCAGGUGUAGCGGUGAACUGCGUAGAGAUCUGGAGGAAUACCGGUGGCGAAGGCGGCCCCCUGGACGAAGACUGACGCUCAGGUGCGAAAGCGUGGGGAGCAAACAGG